CUUCUACCUCUAUCUCUUAACAGGGCAGCUCUUCUACCUUCUUUGCCUUUUCUUGGCAACAGAAUUUGGCUCUUAUGCAUUUCUCUCUAAUUGGUUAAUCACAUUGUAUUGACUGCAACAUUAGAACCAAUAGUUCAGGCCUUCCCAAUUGUCCUGACCAUGUCACUGGCAUACUGACACACGCCCAUGAACAAAGGCUUCAUCACACAAGGAAGACACACUAUGACCCGCUGCGGUUUUCUUCCACUUCAGUUGUAGCCCUGCAUGCUUUCUGGGGAGCACACUCUAGCCACCGAGAUGAAGGCACGGGGAGGCCCGACCGUAGGUCGAACACGUCAGUCAGUGGCUGAUCCUUCCCAUGGUCUCUGGAUACACCAGUGAAGGCAGGAGGUGAAGUCUCCCAGAUCACCUGGGAACAGCCAUGGACACUUGUCUGGGGCUGCAUGAGACAGUGUCUGAGACUCACCUUUGACACAAAUGUAACUGAAGGGGAGAAGCUGCCCCUGGGCAAGCCGGUCAGCUGAAACCACUCAAGAGCCCCCAGUGCAACACCAGGUCUGCAGCUUCACUUCUGAGGCCUGCGAGACAACGAACCCAGCGGGAGGAAUGAACAACUCCAGACGCGCCGCCUUAAGAGCUGUAACACUCACCGC
rnacentral:lncRNA from 1 species